rnacentral:rRNA from 1 species
CUGCUGCCUCCCGUAGGAGUCUGGGCCGUGUCUCAGUCCCAGUGUGGGGGGCCUUCCUCUCAGAACCCCUACGCAUCGUCGCCACGGUGGGCCGUCACCCCGCCGUCUAGCUAAUGCGCCGCAUGCCCAUCCGCCACCGGAUCGCUCCUUUGGCCACCGGAGGAUGCCCUCCGGUGGCGUCACGGGGUAUUAGGCCGCGUUUCCGCGGGUUAUCCCCCUGUGGCGGCCAGGUUGCAUACGUGUUACUCACCCGUGCGCUGGUCG